rnacentral:rRNA from 1 species
UACGAAGGGGGCUAGCGUUGUUCGGAAUCACUGGGCGUAAAGCGCACGUAGGCGGAUCUUUAAGUCAGGGGUGAAAUCCCGAGGCUCAACCUCGGAACUGCCUUUGAUACUGGGGAUCUCGAGUCCGGGAGAGGUGAGUGGAACUGCGAGUGUAGAGGUGAAAUUCGUAGAUAUUCGCAAGAACACCAGUGGCGAAGGCGGCUCACUGGCCCGGA